UGGGGAAUAUUGCACAAUGGGCGCAAGCCUGAUGCAGCCAUGCCGCGUGUAUGAAGAAGGCCUUCGGGUUGUAAAGUACUUUCAGCGGGGAGGAAGGCGAUAAGGUUAAUAACCUUGUCGAUUGACGUUACCCGCAGAAGAAGCACCGGCUAACUCCGUGCCAGCAGCCGCGGUAAUACGGAGGGUGCAAGCGUUAAUCGGAAUUACUGGGCGUAAAUCGCACGCAGGCGGUCUGUCAAGUCGGAUGUGAAAUCCCCGGGCUCAACCUGGGAACUGCAUUCGAAACUGGCAGGCUAGAGUCUUGUAGAGGGGGGUAGAAUUCCAGGUGUAGCGGUGAAAUGCGUAGAGAUCUGGAGGAAUACCGGUGGCGAAGGCGGCCCCCUGAACAAAGACUGACGCUCAGGUGCGAAAGCGUGGGGAGCAAACA
rnacentral:rRNA from 1 species